rnacentral:rRNA from 1 species
AGUGAACGCUGGCGGUAGGCCUAACACAUGCAAGUCGAACGGCAGCACAGUAAGAGCUUGCUCUUACGGGUGGCGAGUGGCGGACGGGUGAGGAAUACAUCGGAAUCUACUUUUUCGUGGGGGAUAACGUAGGGAAACUUACGCUAAUACCGCAUACGACCUACGGGUGAAAGCAGGGGAUCUUCGGACCUUGCGCGAUUGAAUGAGCCGAUGUCGGAUUAGCUAGUUGGCGGGGUAAAGGCCCACCAAGGCGACGAUCCGUAGCUGGUCUGAGGGGAUGAUCAGCCACACUGGAACUGAGACACGCUCCAGACUCCUACGGGAGGCAGCAGUGGCGAAUAUUGGACAAUGGGCGCAAGCCUGAUCCAGCCAUACCGCGUGGGUGAAGAAAGCCUUCGGGUUGUAAAGCCCUUUUGUUGGGAAAGAAAAGCAGCAGGUUAAUACCCCGCUGUUCUGACGGUACCCAAAGAAUAAGCACCGGCUAACUUCGUG